CCCCACACCUUGACGAACCCCCACUCCCCACUCCACCCCCACAUCCCCAAAAUGUUAUGCUAAAGUACAUAUAAAUGCUCUCGCGAUAAUAUUGGAUAAUUUUAUUGCUUACUUACCAAACACUGGAAAAUAAGUAAGAAACCCACUUAUUUUCUAAGAAAACAUUUUCCUCCUUACCAAACACGCCCUGAAUAUCACCAACUGUCCAGAUAAUAAAUCCAGAAGAUCCUUGUUCGCAGGCUGGCUAAACACGAACGAACGUUGGAGUCAUUCAGAAACAUCAUUAACGAAACAAUUUCCUAAUACAAAGAAUAUUGGACUGGAUCCGGGAAAAAAAAGAGUACAAUCGCUCCAUGCUGGAAAUUCAGGCGUGGACUGCAAGCAUCCGUGAAGACCACACAUGUUAAGAUCAUAUCCACAGUCUUGCAAAUGAUGAGAUGUUUAAUCGCCACUGCAAACUGAUAUUUUGACAGUGUAACAUCGAUGAAAACCUCAGAAACAAAUAGCACAUAUUAAAAAGUGUUGCAUCAGGGAAAGAAAUCAUUUUUAUAUGCAUUAAUAAUGGAACAAUUUUCCAAUGCAAAGGUCGACCAUCAAUAAAUUGGAGACAUGCAAGAAUACAGACUCUGCAGAUAGUUCUGCGCACUGAAACCUCACAUAUGCACCGUGUUUCUUGGCUUUUUUGGUGCUUGUACUGCAAUCUGGAUAUAGUUUGGCUUAGACAAGAAGGGUUUCUUUUUUUAAUCUCGUCUCUGCAUUUUUAGUGAUUUCUUAGGUGGUAUGGGUUUUGCCAACUUUGCACUUAACUGUUCCCUUCUCUCUAUGCUUGCAGCCUUUCGGUCUUACAGAGCCAUGCAUUCUUCUUUUCAUGGAGCGGCUUUGUUUUUCGAUUUCUGUUCAGGUUUCUUUAGUUUAGGCUUUUAUGAGUAUGGAGAUUUUCAAUUCAGUUUAUUCCCCUAAUCAGAGUGGUUCCCUUCUCUCUUUUGUGAAAACUGCUGUUCUAUCUAAGAUUAAAAAAAAAUUCACAGGUGUGUUGUAUUCUGCUGCCAUUUUUAGUUUUUAGUCCGGAUGCUUAUGGUCUUGGAUGAUCCAACUGAUGUGAUUCCUGAUGGUUAUGGACACCUGAUAAGUACUCAAAGCUCAAUAUGGAUCUUUUGAUAGCCCGUGAAGUUUCGUGUUCUCGCUACGUAUCUUUCUGCUUCCGCUUACUUUUGUUUAUCACGCCUGCUUGAUUUUGUUUUGUUGGAUGGAUGUGCGUAGACCACAUUGUGACGUGAUAGAGGAUUAGAUUUGGAAAUUAUGAGGGGUUCUGUGUGCAUUCAUAUGCAUCCUGUUUCUUGGCCAUAUUGUUGCUUGCAUUGCAAUCUGGGUAAUCAGGGUUCGAGGAAAGGUGGUUUUUAUUCUAGGGAUUUCCUAGAUGGAGCAGUGAAUUCUUCUUGUCAUGGAUCGGCAUAGUUUGUCGAUUUGUACUGGGGUUUCUUUAGUUCAGGCUUUUAUGACUGUCCAGACUUGCAAUUCAGUUAUCUCCCCAGUCAGACUGGUUCCCUUUCUCUCUUGGUGGAAACUGGCUCUUCUAUGUAAGUUCUCAAAGAUAAUUUUUUUCGCUAGUUUGUGUUGUUUUCUGCUCUGCCAUUUUAGUUUUUAGUCAAGAUUGUUGUGUUCUUCGACAAUCCAAGAACUGAUGAGAUCCCUGAUGGUUAUGGAAACCUCAUAAGUUAGAUACUUAUCAGGACUUCUGAUAGCCCAUAUAAGGACUCCCCUGCUUUUGGUAUUUUCGCUACUUAUCUUCUCUGCUUCCCACUUUGUGGGAUUUCAUUGGAUAUGUUGUUGUUGAUGUAUCUUCUCUGCUUCCGUUUUCUUGUUGUUUAUCCUGCCAGUGAUAGAAGGACUAGAUUCGAAAAUUUCAAAGGUUGGUGUUCUUUGUUUGUUCCUGUGCAUGCUGUUUCUUGGUCUUUUUGGUGCUUGCAUGGCAAUCUGGAUAUUGUCAAGCUACAAGAAAAGUUUUUUUUUUUUUUCUAUCUUGUAUGAUUUCCUAGGUGGUUUGGGUCUCGGUAGCUUUUACAGUUCAACUGUUCCCUUCCGUGCUUGCAACUGUUGGGUCUUAGAGAAGUGAAUUCUUCUUUUUUCAUGCCUUGUUUGUCGAUUUGCGUUGAGGUUUCUAUAAUUCAGGCUUCAAUGAGUAUUUAGAUUUUCAAUUCAGUUUUCUUCCGAGAGUGGUCCCCUUCUCUCACCAUGCUCUUAGAAGUUGUGCUCUUCUAGUAGCUUUUUGCAGAAAAUUUAUCAUGUCUCUGGUUGUUUCCUUGUGUGGAUGCAGGUAUGAAGAUUUUGUUUUUUUUUUUGUGAAAUUGGUAAAGGCUUAUUGGGUGAUUUAUCUGUAAGCCAUAAUCAAACCUUUUCUAUUUUAAGAUCUUCUCAAGAGUAUGUUUUGAAACCCUUGUAAACCAUCCCAUAUCUGUUCAUCGUGUAUGUUUAGUUAAAUGUCGCUUCACAGAUAUUAUGUUCAGCCCAAUUUGGAUCACCAACAAUGGCUGGGGGUUCUCUCAAAAGCAACAUGGCUUGUUUAUGUAAGUGCAACCAGGCUCAGUUUCUUUUCACACAAGCCUCUUGUGGUGUUAGCUUUUGGCUUCAUUACAAGAAUUCUCGGUUAGCUCUUCUUAUUUCUGCAUGCUAUCCUGGUUUGGAAUAUUUUUCCAACAGGCAGAAUUAGUAUGUCUCUCUAGGGUGAUGCUGCCUCCUUCCUCGAUUGAGUUAUGAUGCUGCAAUGCAUGGCGUCAAGGCAUCUUGAUAUUGAACGUUUUCAAAAAGGCAUCUUGAUAUUGAAGCUUUUGGUUACAACUUGAUGGCUUGGUCAAUUUGUCCUCGGUCAUGCUUUAAUGCCAGCUAUUGUUCAUUUCUUGUUUCUGAAAUUGUCCUUGGUUCGUUGGUUUUCUUUUAUUGUGAUCGAUUUGGCACCUUCAAUAAUACAAGAGGAAAUCUUCUAGGAAGCAAUCCAUCGUCCCUGCAAAGAUUGCUUUGAAUAUUGCUUUGGCCUUUACCUUCAUUUAUCGAGUAUAGCUCUUCAUCCCCACCUGUUGCACUUCAAGUGUAGCGGUAACUUUACGUAUGACAUGAUUUAACUUUUUAUGAUGUCUGUUUUCCCGGGCUCUGAUUUUCUCUGUUGCAUCAGGGAUCCAACUUAGAAUUCAGCGCAUUCAGGGGUUCUUGUGAGUCCUUUUCUGGAUUUUUUGUGUAAUCCAGUUUUGAUCAGACCUAACACCCAUUUCGCCAGUUGGUUAGAUAUGCUUGUUGGUCCCCUAUGUCUGAUGGUGGUUACAGAUGGUUGGUCGCGUGCGAGAAUUUAGUCAAGUCUGCAAAAUAUGAUUAAUGACAAUGUUCUGGUGCUUUUGAUAACAAAAUCGCUUGUAUUCUUGGGUAAGUGGGAAACUGAGGUGAUAUAAUUUUUCAAAGCUGCAGCUUGUCUUCGGUGGUUUGGAUUUGAUAUCUCUGCUCUCUUCUAUUUAGGUUCAUGAAUUAAUCUUGUACUCAUCAGUUUCACCCGCUACCCCUUUAUAAGCAUCCAUGGGGAAACUCCAGUUAUUUUCUUUUGCCAGUUACCUAUCAGAUUUGUUGGGAUUUGGUUUUCUCCCUGCUAUAGGUUUUUCUGCUCUGCAGUCCUUGGUUCUUAAUGUUGCGAGUUCGGGCCGAGAGGUUGAGGUGCUUUAAGGAUUGAAUUAGUUUUCUUUGCUACUUUCUCUUGAUGAUCAGAGAUGGUUGAUGAUUUGUCAGCGUGUUUGCAGAAGUGGGUAGGCCUGGAGUCUGUUAGUGUUUUUGCAAUGGUGUCACUCUGAUUCAUGCGAUUCUUGUGUUUUUGCAUGGUGGGUUGAUAUGGCUUCCACAGAAUUUUAGCUUGUCUAUGGAGUGAUGGGUUUGAACUUUAAUUUAAUUGCCUCUGUUUCUUAACUGAGAUAAGAUCAUCUUAUUUUUGCAUCAGUGUCUUCUUUUACAUCAAUUGUUUUGGGUACUUCUCUCACUAUGUAGGCUUAGGCAGACUAUUUUUCCAACUGUCCAAGUGCAAGCUGUGAAAGCCAGAUAGAUAGAUGGUGGGCAUCUGAGAUUUGGUUGCAUGCUAUUCUGUUCAUUUGGUUUGCAGUAGACUUCCAUUUCCUGUUGUAGUUCUAUUGAUAUAUUUGUGUCUCGCACUGGUGUUUGUGUUGGGAAGAUGCAGAGUGAGCUCUUUUUGUAUUGGGGCUGUUUCCUAUCGUAUCUCAAAGCUCUCCAGAAACUGUUCUUGAAUUUCUCAGUCAGAUUUACGACUCAUGUCAAAAGUUUCGUCUGCUACCA